GUAAUCGGGAAGAGAGAAUUGGCGAGAUCUAGCGGAGAAGGGGACCAGGUAGUAGUUGUUUACAAAGUCAUUGCCUCCGAGGGUGAUCAGAACAAGUCCUUGGUUUACCAAUGUCUGUGUCUCUGCUGGCCCUAUUAAUCUACUCACCCUUGUUUGGUACUGCUGAAAGUACUCCAAUUGCUUAUAUAUCCUUAUUAUGUUCAGAAAUUGAAAUCCGGUAUCAUUGAGAAUUCCAACUCCAGCAGAAGCAAAGUUCGCACCAAUAAGUA
rnacentral:misc_RNA from 1 species